UGCAGUCGAGCGGAUGAAGGGAGCUUGCUCCUGGAUUCAGCGGCGGACGGGUGAGUAAUGCCUAGGAAUCUGCCUGGUAGUGGGGGAUAACGUCCGGAAACGGGCGCUAAUACCGCAUACGUCCUGAGGGAGAAAGUGGGGGAUCUUCGGACCUCACGCUAUCAGAUGAGCCUAGGUCGGAUUAGCUAGUUGGUGGGGUAAAGGCCUACCAAGGCGACGAUCCGUAACUGGUCUGAGAGGAUGAUCAGUCACACUGGAACUGAGACACGGUCCAGACUCCUACGGGAGGCAGCAGUGGGGAAUAUUGGACAAUGGGCGAAAGCCUGAUCCAGCCAUGCCGCGUGUGUGAAGAAGGUCUUCGGAUUGUAAAGCACUUUAAGUUGGGAGGAAGGGCAGUAAGUUAAUACCUUGCUGUUUUGACGUUACCAACAGAAUAAGCACCGGCUAACUUCGUGCCAGCAGCCGCGGUAAUACGAAGGGUGCAAGCGUUAAUCGGAAUUACUGGGCGUAAAGCGCGCGUAGGUGGUUCAGCAAGUUGGAUGUGAAAUCCCCGGGCUCAACCUGGGAACUGCAUCCAAAACUACUGAGCUAGAGUACGGUAGAGGGUGGUGGAGUUUCCUGUGUAGC
rnacentral:rRNA from 1 species